rnacentral:rRNA from 1 species
UAACUCACCUGCCGAAGCAACUAGCCCUGAAAAUGGAUGGCGCUGAAGCGUCGUGCCUAUACCCGACCGUCGCGGCGGGGCGGACCCGGUCUCGAAUCGGGUGCCGUUCGAUGCGGCGACGAGUAGGAGGGUCGCGGCGGCGCGCGCAGAAGGGUCUGGGCUCGAGCCUGCCUGGAGCCGCCGCCGGUGCAGAUCUUGGUGGUAGUAGCAAAUACUCCAGCGAGGCCCU